UAGAGUCAUGUAUGGUGGAAGCAUGGAGUCGAUUUAGAGGCAACAAGGUCACGAAAUCAGCCCUCUAAGGGGCUGAUCGAACAGCAGCAGAAAACAGGAGCAAACAAGUCCCAUCUUCUUCCUUCCUUUUGGUUCUUGAUUAUCAAUGGCUUGUUACGGCCAAUAAACAACUCCAAGGGCAACCAAGAAAAUGGAGACCCAACAACACUCUUAAUCUUCUUGUUUUGAUCUUCAAAGGGAUAGUCUUGGCUUUGAAAUGUGAUUGGGAAACGUGACGG